rnacentral:rRNA from 1 species
AGAGUUUGAUCAUGGCUCAGAUUGAACGCUGGCGGCACGCCUAACACAUGCAAGUCGAACGGCAACAGGCGUAUAUUGAAAGAUAUACGUGCUGGCGAGUGGCGGACGGGUGAGUAAAGCGUAGGGAUCUGCCUUAAGACUGGGAUAACUCGGGGAAACUCGGGCUAAUACUGGAUGACCUCUGAGGAGGAAAGGCUGCC